GGUACGUCGUGGCUUUUUGCUUCCUUCGGGAGCUGCCAGCUCAAAGCUAUUCAGUGAUGAUGGUAUGCAUCACAGUGUGUGACGGAAACUUCUCGUGGGUGUUCAGUUGCAGGUGUGAACACCGGGAGGGCUUUUCCAGCAUCGCAGCUCACCUGGCGUCACCAGGGUGAGUGCUCAGCCUUGGCUGACUUCACGGGCUACGCACUCGUGUACAGUAUUUUAUUUCUCAGGAAUUUAACUUCAUACUUUCCGUUAAGGUCAUCAAAGAGCAAAGCCUAAGGCAGGAGUACAAAAAGCUUCCCAGCAUCCCUCAAUCGUCAACGAUGGUGCAGGUGUGAGCACAGGAAGGGCUUUUCCAGCUCCUCACGUGGGUCCCGAGCCACAGCUCACCUGGCAUCGCAAGGGUCCACAAGAAACAAAGCCUAAGGUAUUAAGACGAAAGUCUUCCCAGCAUAAAUCAGUCCUCAACCAAGUCCUGGAGGAACUGGACAAAGUAGAGCAUGGUGGGUAUAUAUCGCUCUAGAGCAGAAGACUUGGGAAGUGGAGGUUUAGAUACACAUGCUCUUCAGAAGGGCGCUUUCCCUGACUAAAUUGACACCCUCAAAUGCUCUGGCUUUGUUUCUGAGUGUUAUCAAUGUAUUCUGAGAAAUAUUGCCUCCUGAAGAUAUUGGUUCUUGAAGAGGUUACUUCUCAUUAAACUGAUUCCAUUUCUUUCUAAAGACCUGAGCCAUGACACUGGGGAGACCGUGGCGUUUCAGAAAAGAGGAGACCAGGUAGUGCCGAUCUACGAUGAAGGGACUUGGACAAUGAAAUCACGAGGCAUGCCAGGUAAUUGCUGUCCUUUGGUCAUCCACUGUCAUGAACCAAAAUCCCUGUGUCUGCAGGCUCUUCAGCAGCCAAACUCUUGCCUUGAGUGCCCCCCCAGGCACAAGGGAGGGGUCCCUCCUGUGCACUGAGGUCCAAAGGGAUGCACUGAGAGAUCGAGCACGGUUUAGGGGGAACCUGCCCCGAACUCCUGCAUCCUCUGCUGAGGCUUUACCUUUCUGUGAUUCUUGGCAGAGCUGCCCAACCCCGGGGAAGCCCGCCAGGCUGGAAUCAACGGCCUCCUUGACAAGAUUCCAGGUACGGAGCAGCCUUGCAGGGCCAGAAGUGGGAGACAAGGCCUGAAGGCUGGGGGCAUGCAAGCAGUGCCCGUGCUGGAGCAAAGGCAAAGGGGGGAGCGGGGUUCAGGUGUCUCCCCAUGGGCCGGACUCUGUCCUCCUGGGGUGUGGGUUCCCCGGGGAGGGAGAGCUGGGGGUGGCAUUCCCUGACACAGGGAUGGUUUUUGUCUGUCUCGCUCCAAGGGACAGUUGAUCAAACUGCUGUCAGACCUCAUGUGAGAUCAGCCGUAGUGUGCAGGACACACUGAGGUACAUAAUUGUUCAUCCAGGUUGGAGCGUCAAGAAUAAGAACAAUACUACUGACACCGCGACCUACAAGAACCACUGCUUAGAAGCUGUCGUGGGGGUAUUGGGCUCCCUCCUGUUUGGGAUAGUGCUGUUUUGUGCAUGCUGGCUGUGCAAGAGGAGAAUACAAAAGUGAGUUGUUGAGCAGGGGCUGUUGCCAAACUCCUGUAUCAGAUGGCGGCCAUUAGACAUGAAACAUUUAGAGGCAGGAUAUUCUGAAGUGCCCGCUUAGUUACUGGCCAAACUCCACUGAGGUUCCUGCUGAAGGAUGGCUUAACCUGCGCUCAGCUCCUGGCUGCUCUUUUCCAAACCCGCUCUUCCUUUUCCAAGUUUUAGUUUAAAGUGCCCCAGCCUCGACGAGGGCUGACCCAGCAACAAUCGUACGCAGAGCAAGGUCAGGAAGAAAAAUGAGGGAUGACAUUGCCAUGGACAGGGAGUGAUGUGUUCCUACGAGCAGAAAUCACCCUGUUGGGUCCUGCUGUAAAUCCCAGGUGUUCACCUCGGCCAGGGUGUCCCUGCAGCUCCAACUGCAGCUCCCCCGUGCAGCCGGGUGCCCGCACCCCACGGGUCGCCCAGCGCUGCCCCGCAGCCUCGCACCCCCCGGCACCACGGCCACGGCGGGGCCUCAGCAGCCUCUUCUCUCCGCAGGCGCCGCGAAGCCAAGGCCAAGGCAGCUGGGAACGCGGCAUAACAAUAAACACAGUUGAGCAGCACAAUUGUCUGGGCACUCACCAGUUCUGCGCCGAACUUCAUGUCAGGGCACGCAGGGAGGUGGAUGCCGCGGUGCCAGCGGGCAGGGAGCUGGGCGGGGGACGCUCCGUCGGGCUGGGGCGACACAGCUUCCCUGGUGGGACCGGCCUGCGGAGCUGGGCCAGGAGGGAGAGCUGCAGAGAGAGGAAACAUUGGGGGCUGUUCACAAAAUGACGUCAACCUCAUGUCCAUCAAUUCCCACUUUUACCAUCUCAUAACACAUCGUGAUGCUUAAUACAUCUCCCAGCUUUUUUAUUCCAGCAGAAGCUUAAAUUAACCACGUGUCCUACAGUCACCAUUAAAGCUUUACAGAAGACAGGAAACUACUGCUGAACCACGUGCUGCUGAACCACGUGCUGCUGAACACGGGCCACGAUUUCUUUGUAUGAGCUGCCAUUUCUUUCUGACAGUAAUUGCAAUGUAUGGAGCAAGAGACCUGAGAAAACGCCUUUCUUAGAUUCCAGAUCAAUAAAUAUGUAUGUGUGUGAAAAGUUUAAACUCAUGAAGGAAGUCCAAGUUAUGUUUAUAUCACGGGCCAUGGUAAUUUCUGCAGGUGUGGAGUGCUUUAUUCAGCUUUAUUCACCAACUGAAACAUUUUCAUUGAAAUAGUUUCAUCAAAAUAAAGUAGUUUCCUGUCAGUCUGCUGAUUUUCUUAAUUUUUGAACGCUAUUCUGUUUCACUGAAACACAGAGGCUUUGUUACCAUUACUUCCAAGUAACUUCCUGGAGGCUUGACAUAUUAAUUUGAUGCUAUUUACUGCUAUAUUUUAUUAUUUUGUUUUGACAAGUGUCAAAUGCCGUGUGUCAGAGUGUUGUGAUA